UACAGAGGGUGCAAGCGUUAAUCGGAAUUAUUGGCGUAAAGCGCAUGUAGGUGGUUUUGUAAGUUUGAUGUGAAGCCUGGGCUUAACCUGGGAAUGGCGUUGAAAACUGCAAGACUGGAGUCAAACAGAGGGCCGUGGAAGUUUCCGGUGUAGCGGUGAAUGCGUAGAGAAUCGGAAGAAUAUCGAUGGCGAAGGCAGCGGCUGGGUUAGACUCGACGACUGAGGUGC
rnacentral:rRNA from 1 species